GUGCCAGCCGCCGCGGUAAUACCGGCAGCUCAAGUGAUGGCCGAUCUUAUUGGGCCUAAAGCGUCCGUAGCUGGCCUCGCAAGUCCAUCGGAAAAUCCACCCGCCCAACGGGUGGGCGUCCGGUGGAAACUGCGUGGCUUGGGACCGGAAGGCUCGAAGGGUACGGCCGGGGUAGGAGUGAAAUCCUGUAAUCCCGUCCGGACCACCGAUGGCGAAAGCACUUCGAGAAAACGGAUCCGACAGUGAGGGACGAAAGCUAAGAUCGCGAACCGGAUUAGAAACCCCGGUAGUCC
rnacentral:rRNA from 1 species